ACAAUUACUGUAAAAUAGUGU
rnacentral:piRNA from 1 species